ACACAUGCAAGUCGAACGCUCGUAGCAAUACGGGAGUGGCAGACGGGUGAGUAACGCGUGGGAACGUGCCCUAAGGUACGGAACAACUCCGGGAAACUGGAGCUAAUACCGUAUGUGCCCGAGAGGGGAAAGAUUUAUCGCCUUGGGAUCGGCCCGCGUCUGAUUAGCUAGUUGGUAGGGUAAUGGCCUACCAAGGCGACGAUCAGUAGCUGGUCUGAGAGGAUGACCAGCCACACUGGGACUGAGACACGGCCCAGACUCCUACGGGAGGCAGCAGUGGGGAAUAUUGGACAAUGGGCGAAAGCCUGAUCCAGCCAUGCCGCGUGAGUGAUGAAGGCCUUAGGGUUGUAAAGCUCUUUCGCCAGGGACGAUAAUGACGGUACCUGGAUAAGAAGCCCCGGCUAACUUCGUGCCAGCAGCCGCGGUAAUACGAAGGGGGCUAGCGUUGUUCGGAAUUACUGGGCGUAAAGCGUAUGCAGGCGGAUCGUUAAGUCGGGGGUGAAAUCCCGAGGCUCAACCUCGGAACUGCCUUCGAUACUGACAGUCUUGAGUCCGGGAGAGGUGAGUGGAACUCCGAGUGUAGAGUGAAAUUCGUAGAUAUU
rnacentral:rRNA from 1 species